rnacentral:siRNA from 1 species
CUUAUUUACAAUGGCUGCCA